rnacentral:rRNA from 1 species
ACGAACGCUGGCGGCGUGCCUAAUCCAUGCAAGUUGAGCGCUGAAGGUUGGUACUUGUACCGACUGGAUGAGCAGCGAACGGGUGAGUAACGCGUGGGGAAUCUGCCUUUGAGCGGGGGACAACAUUUGGAAACGAAUGCUAAUACCGCAUAAAAACUUUAAACACAAGUUUUAAGUUUGAAAGAUGCAAUUGCAUCACUCAAAGAUGAUCCCGCGUUGUAUUAGCUAGUUGGUGAGGUAAAGGCUCACCAAGGCGAUGAUACAUAGCCGACCUGAGAGGGUGAUCGGCCACAUUGGGACUGAGACACGGCCCAAACUCCUACGGGAGGCAGCAGUAGGGAAUCUUCGGCAAUGGACGAAAGUCUGACCGAGCAACGCCGCGUGAGUGCAGAAGGUUUUCGGAUCGUAAAACUCUGUUGGUAGAGAAGAACGUUGGUGAGAGUGGAAAGCUCAUCAAGUGACGGUAACUACCCAGAAAGGGACGGCUAACUACGUG